UACGGAGGGUGCAAGCGUUAUCCGGAUUUACUGGGCGUAAAGGGUGCGUAGGCGGCUUUCUAAGUUGGAUGUGAAAACUCUGGGCUCAACCCAGAGCCUGCAUCCAAAACUGGAGAGCUAGGGUUCUGGAGGGGAAAGCGGAAUUCCUGGUGUAGCGGUGAAAUGCGUAGAUAUCAGGAGGAACACCGGUGGCGAAGGCGGCUUUCUGGACAGAUACCGACGCUGAGGCACGAAAGCUAGGGGAGCAAACAGG
rnacentral:rRNA from 1 species